UGCCUUUUCCUCCUCCUCCUCCUCCUCUUCCUCCAAGAACCACACCGAACCAAAUCGCCGCAAUUCGAUCCCAAUCCUCUCACAGCUCAAGCUUCACACACUACCAAAUAAACGACAAAUUCCACCGAAAAAAAAAAAAAAACACAACCAGAAUCUAAAUCCGAAGAAAGAAAGGUGUAAAAGUGCGAUUACAAUGGCGACGAGAGAAUGUGAGACAAAAAAAGUAGGGAGAAUUUUUCGAAAUUCCUCUCACUGUAGCAGCUCCGUUUUGUUCGAAGAUUCCUCUCUCUCUCUCUCUCUCUCUUAAUUUGUGUUUGGGGGAGAGAGAAAAAUGUAGAGAGAAAAUGCGAGAAAGAGAGGGAAAAAAUUGUAGUGAAAGUGAGUGAGUGAGUUGAGUGAUCAGUGAGAGAAAGAGAGAGAGAGAGAGAGAGAGAGAGUGAGUGAGUUUUUGAUGAAAGCGAUUGAUGAAUUAAAAGCAAAAGGCAGCUGAAACCGAAAUAAUAGUAAAAUCUUCAUUGGAGGCUUAGCCAAGGACACCAGCUACGGUAAGAGAGAGCAUUCUAUUCUUUUCUAUGAUUCUCUUGAUGGUACUGUGCUUCUCUUGAUGGGUAUUUUUGAAUCUGUAAUGGGGGGUUUGCUAUUGUUGUUGUAUGUUAAAAGUUACUGUUUUUGCGUGUUUGUUUCCGUUGAUGGGUUUUAUUUGAAUGUGUGAUAUAUUAUAUAUAUGAUGUAGUUCUUGUUCGUAUUUGACUGAGUUCAGAAACCUUUGUGAGUUACUUUGAGAAGUAUGGAAAGAUAACAGAUUCUGUUAUAAUGAAAGACCGGCACUCACAUCGACCAAGGGGAUUCGGUUUCAUAACCUAUGAGGAUCCUUCUGUUGUUGACCAGAUGAUCCAAGAGACCCAUGUCAUCAAUGGCAAGCAGGUUAUUCUAUGUUCUCUUAAAUAUCUCCCACCGGUGCAUCACACCACCACUUCCUCCACCAUUACUUUCCGGUGGGAUUUACCGGGGAAAACUCCAUAGCAACCUCCAUUAUCUCAAAUUUUAAAGGUUCCAAGAUCCUUGGUGAUGGACCUAGUGAUUGGAUUGGUUGAUUACAAGGUGCCCGUUUGAGGUAAAAUCAGUUGGUCUUCUGAGGUAAGUGGCUUCUUAAUGGGAUUUUUUAAAAGAAUCAUUAUUGCACUUAAGUAUUUUAUAGUUAAACCCAUUUUAAAGUGUUGUUCAUAGUUUUCCUAAAACAUACUAUUUGAACUAUUCUGUUAAUAAAUUAUGGAAAACACAUGAAACAUUGAAAGUGCAUCAUAUUUAAUAUUGUACAUGGGGAAAUGCAUGAAUUAUUGGCAUGGAAAGACAAGCGUCUUUGAUCUCAUCAUUUGAUAAUGUAUUUCAUAUAUUUAUGGUGUUAUUUGGAAAUACUAAAAGAUUUUUUAUCUUAAAUUGUAUUAAUUGGGAAGUUAUACAAAAUCUUUUUGGCAAGGAGUGAUUUUGAAGAAUUUGAGAAUUUUGUAGAAAUCUUGGCUAUUGAAUUAUAUUAUGAAACUACUUGGAAGUAAAAUAUGUUUUUUGAAUACAUAUAACUUAUGGGCUUUUGAUGUGGGUUUGCCAUUGUGCUAUGUUACUGGUGAUUACCUAGUCUUUGUGAUGAUGUCUGUGUGACGUGUGAUUGCCCUGUCUUUGUGACGAUAUCUUUGUGACGUGUGAUUACCUGUCUUUAUGACGACAAGCCACAUUAGAGCCUCCCACUUUGCAUGACGUAGGUAAAUCCUUGAAUGUGUGAGUAAGGUCACUGCCCAUAGGGCCAAAAGACCAUAUGCAAAAGGGGUACUAUGUGACAUGUCAUUCCCUGUUUCCCAUACGGGAAGAGGUAAAUCUUUGAGUGUGUGGGUGAGGCUAGGCAGGGCCAAUAAACCACAUGCAAAAGAGGUACUACAUGACGCAUUAUUCCCUGCCCCCCAUGAGGGGGAGAGGUAAAUCCUUGAGAGUGUGAUUGAGGGUGUUGCCUAUAGGGCUGAUAAACCACAUGCCAAAAGAGGUACAUAUCAUGCAAUUGUGUUUGGGUUCUAACAUGUCUGUGGCAGUAUGAUGUCUCGGUGACAUUUACGUCUUUGUGGCACCUUGUCAUGUGGCCUUGUUUCUGGUUUUGAAAUAGCAUUGGACAUUGUUUAUGACUUACAGUAAACAUUAUGUAGUUUCAUGGUUAUUUUGGGAAGCUUGGACCCACAUUAUUAUAAUCAUUCUCGUCAUGUUUUUAUUGAAAUUGAUUUUGUAGAAAAUAAUAGUAAUUCUCAAAUUAUAGCAUGUUUUGUAAUGUGCUCGUUGUCGUUAAACUUGCAUUUCACCCACCCCAUUAGUUAUGCUACUUACUGGGCUUUAGCUCAUCCUACUCUCUCACAGUUUUACAAACUGGAAAGCAUGGACACAGUAGUUGGGUUGCCGUGUUCGUAUCCAACACCCUUUGUCGCGGUGGCUUGUGGAUAUGGUAACCAUGCUAGCUGUAGGCGGUAGAUCUCUAUAAAUUUACCAGAGAGAGAUAGAAACUAAUCUGUUUGUUUUCAUUUUUUUUUGUUUUUUGUUUUUUGGUCUUGAGAUGAAAAGAAACUAAUUCGUUCUCUAAAGAAGAAAGAAAGAAGUGUGGCACUGUGGCUAUAGAUGGGGUGUAGGUGGGGAAAUUAAUUGGGUUUUGCCAAAAAGAAAGAAGUGUGGCUAUAAAUGGGGGUAACCUUGUGUUAAUUCAUAUGGAGUUUUGAAAUAGUUUAUGUAUAAUUGGAGGCACAUGAUUCAAUUGUAGCAUUUGUAAUUGUGUUAUAGAGCUCUGACUUAUAUUGUGGAGAGUUCAGAAUGUUUACUUAUCUUUAUCAUAAAGAAAGGGGGAAAAAAUCCCUUACCAUUUUUCU